rnacentral:rRNA from 1 species
GAUGAACGCUAGCGGCAGGCUUAACACACGCAAGUCGAGGGGUAGAGGAAGCUUGCUUCCUUGAGACCGGCGCACGGGUGCGUAACGCGUAUGCAACCUACCUUUUACAGAGGGAUAGCCCAGAGAAAUUUGGAUUAAUACCUCAUAGUAUAUGUUUUUCGCAUGUUAGACAUAUUAAAGUUCCAACGGUAAAAGAUGGGCAUGCGUCCUAUUAGCUAGAUGGUAAGGUAACGGCUUACCAUGGCAACGAUAGGUAGGGGUCCUGAGAGGGAGAUCCCCCACACUGGUACUGAGACACGGACCAGACUCCUACGGGAGGCAGCAGUGAGGAAUAUUGGACAAUGGGCGCAAGCCUGAUCCAGCCAUGCCGCGUGCAGGAAGAAGCAUCUAUGGUGUGUAAACUGCUUUUGUACGGGAAGAAACACUCCCUCGUGAGGGAGCUUGACGGUACCGUAAGAAUAAGGAUCGGCUAACUCCGUGCCAGCAGCCGCAGUAACAC